GAUGAACGCUGGCGGCGUGCCUAAUACAUGCAAGUCGAGCGAAGCGGGGACGGGUGAGUAACACGUGGAUAACCUCCUAUAAGACUGGUAUAACUUGGGGAAACCGGAGCUAUACCGGAUGCUUAUAGAUGCAUCCGCGCUGCAUUAGCUAGUUGGUAAGGUAACGGCUUACCAAGGCAACGAUGCAUAGCCGACCUGAGAGGGGGAUCGGCCAAACUGGAACGGAGACACGGUCCAGAAUCAUACGGGGUGCAGCAGUAGGUAAUCUUCCGCAAUGGGCGAAAGCCGGACGGAGCAACGCCGCGUGAGUGAUGAAGAGCUUCGGAUCGUAAACCUCUGUUAUUAGGGGGGCGGUACCUAAUCAGAAAGCCACAGCUAACUACGAGCCAGCCGCCGCGGUAAUUC
rnacentral:rRNA from 1 species